rnacentral:rRNA from 1 species
CAAUAGCGUAUAUUAAAGUUGUUGCAGUUAAAAAAGCUCGUAGUUGGAUUUCUGGCAGGAGCGACCGGUCCGCCGUAAGGUGUGCACUAGGUUGUCUCCAGUCAUCUUUGUGGGAACUGCUCUGGCAUUAGUUUGUCGGGGUUAGGGAACACAUCGUUUACUGUGAAAAAAUUAGAGUGUUUAAAGCAGGCUUAUGCCGUUGAAUACAUUAGCAUGGAAUAAUAGAAUAGGACUUCGGUACUAUUUUGUUGGUUUCUAGGACCGAAGUAAUGAUUAAUAGGGACAGUUGGGGGCAUUCAUAUUCCAUUGUCAGAGGUGAAAUUCUUGGAUUAACGGAAGAUGAACUACUGCGAAAGCAUCUGCCAAGGAUGUUUUCAUUGAUCAAGAACGAAAGUUAGGGGAUCGAAGAUGAUUAGAU